rnacentral:lncRNA from 1 species
AAAUAUCGGAUAGUAAAUAAAAAAAUUUGAAGUUGAGGGAUCAAUCCCAGUAAGUCUUAUAGAUGAGGGUCUCUGUGUAUUUUCAUCCUAAUAAAAACCUUAGACGCUAUGUUUACCUCUUUUUUAUUUUUUUAUUUUACUAUUUUUUUAGAAAAAAUUGCCUAUAUACUCCUCAGAACCUCAAAAUAUCUCAUUUACCUAUAUUUUUUUUUGUUCCACAUAUACCCCUUAUAUAUUUCUCUGUUAUUUAAAAAUAUCCCUACUGUUGGUGCCCGUUAAGUCAUCUCGGGUUAAAGCUGAGUUAAAUUUCUACCAUAGCUAAAAAAUAGUAAAAAUAUCUAUUUUGCCCGUAACUUAAGGAUAAAUAAGAAAAGUUAAUGACCUGAGUUAAAAAUAUCCUUACCGUUGGUGCCCGUUAAGUCAUCUCGGGUUAAACCUGAGUUAAAUUUCUACCAUAGCUAAAAAAUAGUAAAAAUAUCUAUUUUGCCCGUAACUUAAGGAUAAAUAAGAAAAGUUAAUGACGGCAGAAGAGUAUAUUUGAGAAGGCAAAAAGUCAAAAUACUUUUUUGCCCUAACUUAAGAGUAAAUAAGAAAAAUUGAUGAUGGUAGAAGGGUAUAUUUAAAAGGGCAAAAUAAUUUUACAAAGAUAACAACUGUUCCUAACAGUUCACUAACAAAAUUUAACUCUAGGGGUAUAUUUGAAAGACUUUGGAACGUCAAAAUGGCAUUUUUAAUAUUAGCCUUCUAAGAAUGAUAAAUAAGAAGUCGAAAACUUUUCAGAUUUAGAAUGAUAAAUAAGAAGUCGAAAACUUUUCAGAGGUAUAUAAGCAAUUGCCUCCAUUUUUUAGCCCUAGCUAUUUACUGCUUGAAUCUUUUUU